rnacentral:ncRNA from 1 species
CAACCCAUGCAGGGAUGUAUGGCUGAGCCUUGAGAAGUCAGCAGAGGCCAUAGUACUUAUCCGAGAUAGGAGAUAAGGAAGGGC